UGAGAACUACUGCCUUAAUCAACAUGAGAAAAAUCAUACAGGUGAGAAAUCCUGUGAACAUAAAGUAUCUAAAAUCUCUAAAGACUGCUCCUCCUUUGUUCAACAUGUGAGAGUUCAUGUAAGUUAAAAAACCAAAAACCUACGAAUAUAAAGAAGGAGGGGAAAUCUUAAGCAAAAAGCGUCGUUUAGUAACCAGUAAAGAAUUAAUACUGGAGAAACUCCACAAAUGUGGUCAAUGUGGAGAAUUUUUCCCUUGUAGCUCGCCUGGAUUAAACACGAAAGAACUCACACUGGGAAGAAACCUACAAAGGCAGACGGUGUGGGAAAACCUGUAGCUAUAGCUCUUCGCUCUCUCAACAUGAGAGGGUACAUUCCAGAGAGAAAAACUGUAAGUGCACUAACAUGGAAAAACUUUCAGCAUCAAAACAUUCAUAUGGGAGACAAACCUUGUUUCUAUAA
rnacentral:lncRNA from 10 species